CCUUCGAUAGCUCAGUUGGUAGAGCGGAGGACUGUAGCGGUGAUUCCCAGGCAUCCUUAGGUCGCUGGUUCAAAUCCGGCUCGAAGGA
rfam:Takifugu rubripes chromosome, Chr_8